UACGAAGGGGGCUAGCGUUGUUCGGAUUUACUGGGCGUAAAGCGCUCGUAGGCGGAUCUUUAAGUCAGAGGUGAAAUCCCGGAGCUCAACUCCGGAACUGCCUUUGAUACUGGGGAUCUCGAGUCCGGGAGAGGUGAGUGGAACUGCGAGUGUAGAGGUGAAAUUCGUAGAUAUUCGCAAGAACACCAGUGGCGAAGGCGGCUCACUGGCCCGGAACUGACGCUGAGGAGCGAAAGCGUGGGGAGCAAACAGG
rnacentral:rRNA from 1 species